AUGCUGUGUUCUAUAUCUUCCUCUGUCUGUCCUACAAACUGGAAACAUGUGGUAAUCAUGUCUGUGGAUUUUGUUAUUGCUGUAUCCUCUAAUUCUGUUUUAUUUGUAAUUUUAGAUGGACUCAAAGCUUUAGACCCAGAUUUACAGCAACAUGGUGUGCUGUUGAUUUCUCACAAAGAAGUCAUCAAAAACACAGCUCUAAGAAGCUUCUGCACUGAAAGAAAUGACGUGUUUGCAGCUCAGAAGCUAAGGAAGCUGCCAAAAACCAUAAGGAGGUGGGAUGUAUACACAGAGGACUAGAAGGGAGAGCUGUAGUUCUGUCUGCAGUCACCAGAAGAACAGGGAAGGAUGGCUGCAGAGUACCAACUACCAUGUGGACACAUGGAUCUCUUCUAAACUGGAAGUGGGACUGAGAAACACCCAGUUUCACUGUGCCCUGAAGGCAGUAUGCACUGUAGCUUUGUUUAGAAAGUGUCAGUGUAGGCCUUUUGUUAGAAAAGGUGAGAGAAAGUAAUAGGAAGUAUCAGUAGUAUUCCUUCAGACAUAAGUGUGUGUGGAGAAAGGAGUCUGUGUGCCAAUGCAAGCUCUUGCUGUUAAAGAGAGAUGUCUUUUACACACUUAGUGCAGGAAGAUGCAGGAAAAUUAUCUUGGUGUGCUGGGUCUGUUUCACAGGUCAGUGGGACAGGAAGGUGAGGCCGUGACCUCCUCUCUAGCCCAAGUUACUCUGUGGACUGUGCAGUCUUUGCAGCACGUGGAAGAAUGUCAUCAUAACCCAACAUCUGUUGGUCAACUGUUUGCAUAGCUCCUUCCUAACAUGGCUUUAGCGGGGUGAUUAGGGUUAACAUCCUCAUCUGGUAGCAGGACCUUUUGCUUUAUGAUAUGAGAAGGUGUCCAGCUCUGCUGAGGAGCUUCACACAGACUACAGUACACAAAGAGCAGCUACCUCUUCAUCCAACCUGGGCACAAUCAUAAUAGUACUUCUGGUUAAGAGAGUAGUCAGAAAAGUAUUUGAGACUGUUGUCUUAACCAGAGUCACUUUUAAUUGUGACCUGAUUUUGAAAGGUUUGGGGCACCCUUCAGAGGAAGUUUAAGAUGUAACAGCCAUAGGUAGUCACUGUCUUUAUGGAGUUAAGAGAUUAACACGGAGAUAGUAAUUUUACAAAGAAUUAAAAAUAAUUGUUUGCAAUGAUUAAAAGGACAUUUAUUUGACAGUGUCCCCUAAAAUUGUCUAUGUGAUUACCCAUUUUACAGAUGCAAUUUCUGGUCUAACAUUUUUGCUAUCAUAAUCAACUGACUGCAAUUAGUGAGGAAGCAUGAGAGUUAUUUAGACCACACAAGUAAGGCAGUUAGCUUGCUGGCCACUAAGAUUAGUCCUUGAAAAAUGGCAUGAAUACAAACAUGAGGGUACAAAUAUUUUUAUUGCCUCUUUACUCUGUUUUAUUUUUCCUUCUCUUUCCUCCCUCCUUCUUCCAAGACGGAAAAGUAGAUGUAAGCCUCUGCUGAGGCACAGCUGAAGUUAAAAAACAAACAAUAACAACAACAAAAACACAAAGUAACAUCAAAAAGACCAACAAAACAAACAAAAAACAACUUCUUAAUUCACUGCAGCAUUUGUGCAUAACCAAGACGUUAUGUUUCAUGUUAUGUGGUACAAUCACUGAUCCCUGAGGAGUUCACACCUUGUGUGUUCUUCCCUUUCAAACUGUUAACAUUUUACCAAUCCCAAGUGAAUACAUAAAUCUCUGGGACGUUUUGAGUGUGGUACCAUUUUUUAGACUUUGCCAGUGAUUGGGCUGAGCAAAACUGUAUUCUUCCUUAUUCAUAGGGCCACACACAUUCUCGUUUUGAAAACAAUUUCAAUGUGUAAUGGAAACAUUAAGAUUUGAUGCAAAAUGGAAUAGUCGUGUUACCUCCAUGCAGUAGCUCCAUGUUCCUCACAUCACCUCAAAAUUCUGUCACUUGCUAUGUGACAGAACUGUGGCCUUGCUUUGUGAGGGCAGGAUUAGUUGCUGGUUUGUUAGAUGCCCCAGUGCUAUGCACUUUUCAUUGUUUUUAAUAACUGUUGAACUGUGAGGAGAAGGUACUUUACAGGAAAAGAAAGCUGAGGAGGGAGAUACUUAAAUCAAAGUUCCCCAAGCAUAUAGUCUCUUCUCCUAGCAAGAAAAUAGAAAAUGUAUGCAAAUGUAGAAAAUUUGUGAAAACGUAUGAAAUAUCUUUUGGAAACUCAUUUGGAAUUAAGAUUUUCUUACUGAAAUCUUUAAAUUAAAGUGUUCAGGUUCAUAGUUCCGUAUGUUUAUGUGAUUUAAGGACUGGGAAGAUGCUAUCAGCAUCUUCACUUCCUACGGCCAAUAGCUCAGGAGGAAAAAUGAAUGAGUUAAUUGAAAUGUGUAUGUUGCUAUUAUUGAAUCCUGUUCUGUUUUAGGAAUCAAAUUACACAGAUCUUAACAUUGAGCAAUAGAUCUGCUGCAUAAACAAGCCAGCUACGGUGACUUCCUCGGCUACUUCAUAUAGUAUUAUAGGACAGAGCUGUUGUAGUUUUAUUCACUCCAGUCUUCAGAUUCUACUUAGUCCUUACAUCUUUUCCUGAAGUUCAUAAUUUUCUUUGAUUCUUCUUUAUUUCCUUCCACUUUUUCUGUACAUUUUCAUGCUGUAGUUGUUUCCAUCUCUUUCUCUUUGGUGUUACAGAAAUGGAUAAAACGUCUGGAUUCACAUCUUAGAGGCAUUUUAUAUCUGUAUAGCACUUUUAACUUCAGUAUAAUUGUUCCUGAUUUACUCUAAUGCAAAAGUGAUUGGAGCUAGGCUGCCAAAACAACUAUUAUAGUGUAGCUGUAGUAAUAUCAGUGUAGGUAAAGGAACUUGCUGGUUGCGUGUAUUUGAAACAGUUCUUUUCCCUGCCAAAAUCUUCAACUGUGGUAAAGAUCUAUAAAGAAGUACCAUCAAAUAAACAAACUUUAUUUGGGGCA
rnacentral:lncRNA from 1 species